AGGCCCAUCGACAAUUGAGUUGCGUUUGCAUCUCUUCUUCCCGAGUGUCUGCAGUGGUCAGUGUGUAGCUUUCUGAGUGGCAUUCUCAUCGAUCAAACUCGCUUCAUUCUUCACAUCACACUUGAAAACCUCAACAAAGAUGUUCAAAAAAUUUUCGUUUGAGGAUGUGUCUGCUCAGAAUCAAGUGAAGGCCUCUGUUCAACGAAAAAUUCGACAAAGUAUCGCAGAGGAGUAUCCUGGUUUGGAACCAGUAUUGGAUGAUAUACUUCCUAAGAAGUCCCCUCUUAUAGUUGCUAAAUGUCAGAACCAUCUGAAUCUGGUGCUAGUGAACAAUGUGCCUUUGUUUUUCAGUGUCCGGGAUGGACCAUACAUGCCCACAUUGCGACUUCUCCAUCAAUAUCCAAAUAUAAUGAAGAAACUACAAGUUGACCGUGGUGCAAUAAGAUUUGUGUUGUCGGGUGCAAACAUAAUGUGCCCUGGCCUUACGUCUCCUGGUGGUGCUUUGGAUGAGGAAGUGGAGGCAGAAAGUCCUGUGGCUGUUAUGGCUGAAGGGAAACAGCAUGCUCUUGCUAUUGGCUUUACAAAAAUGUCAGCAAAAGACAUCAUUUUUGCUUCUGAUCAAGGAAUAAAACUUACUAAAGGAAGUCAAUGCAGAAACAAAGUGAUGUUAUGACGUGUCUGGUAUAAAAUCAGGGAAUUGGAGUUGCAAGCCUUCCCUGGUUAUUGUUCCACUCACGAAGUUAAAUUACUUUCAUGGUUUCAGAAAAGCAAUCAACAAGGGAAUUGGGGUUGACAACCUGCAUUAUCUCAAUGACGGUCUUUGGAAGAUGGAGCGACUCGAUUGAAGAUGCUGUAAGAGCUGUAUACCACCAACGAUGGACGAGCUCUCAUUUUCUGGGUCUAUGAUCUGAUUUUAGAGUCCAUCAUAAAUGUGCUUGGCCACUAAUCUAUUAUACCGGUGUAAACAGUUAAAAAAAAAAGAAAAGAAAAGAAUUUUGUUACACAGUACUCCUUUUACGUAGAUUUCAGGUAUGGAAUCCACACUGUUUCUGCGUGUUGAAAGUGCAAAAGUUUUGUCCAUUUGUUUAAGAGUAAUGAAAGGAGAUUUUGAAUCAUUGGAA